AAACAUUCGUAUGAUUCCAUAUCCUUAUGUGAUUUGGUCAGGGUCAUGACUGUUGCCCCUACCAGUUCAGCUAUAAGGGUCCAGGUGCUCUGGAGUUUGUGAAGAAGCUGGACAUCCCCAAGCAGUCCUCCAAAGGCAGCCUGACAGCCAUGCAGCACUUCCAGAACCUGGACAAGAGGGCCACUGACGACGACACCAACGAAGUGGGGACCCUUCACCAGAACAGCAUCACACAGCUGUGUGUUGUGUCUGGGGAGAAAGCCAAAGUGGAGAAAUACAGCAGUGUGGGUCUGGAUGGAGCCUUGGUGAUCUGGGAUUUUAAGCACUAAGACCCCCCAGAGCCGUCCUGCAGGAGACCCACACUCAACUGACCAUCACACCCUUUUAUCAAAUACAUUCGGUUGAAUAUAACUACAGUAGAGAUGCCUUUGAGAAACUGGAAAACACUAUAAGCACAUUUGCUUUGUGAUCUUUGAGUAAAUAAAGAGUGUACAGGUCAGAAAAUGAA